UACGUAGGGGGCAAGCGUUGUCCGGAAUCAUUGGGCGUAAAGAGCGUGUAGGCGGCCCGAUAAGUCCGCCGUGAAAUCCCUGGGCUCAACCCAGGAACUGCGUCCGAUACUGGUUGGCUUGAAUCCGGGAGAGGGAUGCGGAAUUCCAGGUGUAGCGGUGAAAUGCGUAGAUAUCUGGAGGAACACCGGUGGCGAAGGCGGCAUCCUGGACCGGCAUUGACGCUGAGGCGCGAAAGCGUGGGGAGCAAACAGG
rnacentral:rRNA from 1 species